rnacentral:rRNA from 1 species
GACGAACGCUGGCGGCGUGCCUAACACAUGCAAGUCGAACGAACAGAUGAGGAGUUUGCUCCUCUGACGUUUGCGGCGGACGGGGGAGUAACACGUGGAUAACCUACCUAUAUGACUGGGAUAAUCUCGUGAAACCGGAGCUAAUACCGGAUAAUCUAUUGAACCGCAGUGUUCAAUAGUGAAAGACGGUUUUUCUGUCAGUUAUAGAUGCAUCCCCGCCGGAUUAGCUAGUUGGUAGGGUAACGGCUUAGCAAGGCGAGCAGGCGUAGACGCCGGGAGAGAGUGAUCGGCCACAUGGGAAGUGAGACGGGGCCAAGACUCCUGCGGGAGGCAGCAGUAGGGAAUCUUCCGCAAUGGAGGAGAGCCUGACGGAGCAACGCGGAGUGAGUGGUGAAGAUCUUCGGAUCGUAAAGCUCUGUUAUUGGGAGGAAACAAAUGUGUAAGUAACGAGGCACGUAUUGACGGUACCGGAUCAGAAAGCCACGGCUAACUACGUG